GUGAGGGGGUGACUAGUGACAGAGUGAAGGAGGUGGUGACAGAGUGAGAGAGGGGGUGACACAAUGACAGUGUGGGACUGUCACUAGUCACCCCAUCCCUCCCUCUGUCACUAAUCACAACCACCCUCUCUGUCACUACCCCCUCCCUCACUCUGUCACUAGUUACCCCCUCCCUCACUCUGUCACUAGUCACACCCUCCCUCUCUCUGUCACUAGUCACACCCUCCCUCUCUCGGUCACUAGUCACACCCUCCCUCAC